rnacentral:lncRNA from 1 species
AAGGGAGGCAAGGUGACAUGGGUGUGGCCAUACCUAGGGGUCCUAAAUGCUAGCAAGCCAUAUGAGCAAGUCUUGGUAGCACCCACACAUGGGCUCAAUGUUAUGUUAUGGUAUGUAACCUAUGACCAUAAUGGCAUGGGGAGUGAUGAAUCUCCUGUUUAAUCAAUGGCAUAAGGCCAUAAAGCCUUAUGAAAAAAGGCUGCUCCGUGAGCCAUGGACGUAAUGUCAUGGAAUGUUGUAGCAUUAAGAUGAGCUUGGAUGAGACAUGAGGAUGUAACAACAAAGUCAACUCAAACGCAAUGCCUAAUGCUUGGCACAAAGGCUCAAUGCCUUGUGCGCAAAGAUGAGAAGUCAUAAGCACAAUGUCACGACUCAUUGUUGCACUAAGAAAGGGAUUGGAUAUGGCAUAAUGUUGUAGCAACAACUUGAUGGAGCACAUAUGAGCACGGUUAACACACUCAAGUAGAAAUAAAGGGGCCAUGAACUAAGGGAAAGAUUGACACCAAGGCAUGUUACAAGGAGUGCAAGCCAAAAAAAAGGCUUGACACACACAUGAUCUACAUAGCAACGUAUGCGAUGAGUUGCGUAGAGAUGCAAUAACAAGCUAAUUGGAUGCUUGGUCGAUUCAACCAUAUAAGUGGAAGAAUGUAAAUGGUAACCAUAUGAGGAGUUUCAAAUAGAUGAGAAAUGGGUUGAAGACAUUUGAAAUCUCUGAGUUAUAUUCAAAGUGGGAAUAUAAUUUGAGUUUGAAUAUGAGUUUAGAUUCUUAUUGUAAUUAUAAUCUAAGAAAGACUAGGAUUGCUUCUCUAGUCCAAAUAGGAAUGAUUAGUGCCAUGACAUAUGAACAAGGGUUUGGGAAGGGUUAGUAUUGUUGGUUCCUAGUAAAAAAAAAAGAAUGGUGUCACACCUAUAAAGGAAGGCUAGAGUGCCUUUUGAAGAACAUGAGAGGGAAAACGCUUUCUUAAAACAUAGCACGAGAGAGUAUGAACUCACCAUAGAGAAUGUGGGAAUCUUGCUAAGGGCUAUGUCUUGUAUUAUUAUUUAGAAAAGAAAUAAAAUUCAAGUUGGGGAUUAAGCCUCAUAACCACAUGUUUUUUUUAUAGGUUUUCUUUAUUGCAAGCUCAUGUGGAUGUAAGUAGAUUAACUAAGAGGGCUUUUAAGCACCACAACGUGAAAAACUUGUGGGGAAAGUUUGUGCCCAUGACACUUAAUGGCUUAAACCCUCAAAUUUUCCAUUUUCUCUUACAAGCAAUUUUAAGAGUUUCUUAAUAAAUCUUUAUUUGAGAGUUUUGGAAUUAUGAUAGAAUAAUGUUGUUCUUAGAAUUUCUGAAGGUUUUUUCACAAUAAGUUUUACCAUUUUUUUAUUCCAAAAUCAUAGUUUAUCCAUGUUAAACUAGGAAAACUUGUUUUAAGAAUUAUAAAUCUUUUUCUCUUCUAAAGGACUUGUUUUCUCGGUUGAGACAUUGUCUUUCCCUAUUGAGCACCAGUCAAGGGCUGGUUGAAGCUCAGAAAAAACCAAUAGUCACCUAUAGUGCAAUUAAUGCCUAGCGACUAUUCAAUCAAACAAACUAGAGCUUGAUUAAUCAAGGCAUACUUUUACAGUUCAAGGUGUCUGGGAUUUGUUUCCUAUAAAUUGAGAACUCCUAUGCAUUUAUUGAUAAGAGAGUACCUAUAGUGAAUAACUUAACUAUUCUUUUCUCUUUUUUCAAAGAACUAAAAUUAAGCUAGAUUAAGUGCAUUUAAUCAUUUCUUACUUGAGAAAUGUUGAGUAAUUGAAACUUCGAGCUAGAAUUAAACUUGAAAAGACUUGUAAGUGCCCAUUGAGUCCAAGUGUAGGGCUUGAAGUCUUAGAGUUGGAAGCCUUGAUUUAAUGUAACCCUCACUUGAGUUUAAGGAGAGUGGUUGUAGGUGAAAGUUUCCAAACCACUCCAAAAAUGAGUUUGCAUCUAUUUUUAUUUCCUUAUUUACAUUUAUUGCUUUAUUAGUUGAUUGAUUGAAGUGGUUUUCUAAAAAGUGUUAAUCACCCAAUUCACAUUCACUCCCCCUUUUGGGUGUUUGUCCUUAAUAUAAUUAGUAUUACUUCAUACUUGUUUUCAAUGAUCAAUUCUAUUUGUUUGAAUCCUCUGAUGAAGACAUUCAAAACACAUGUUGCUAUUUUUCUUUCGAAUUCAUUAGUUUGUUCAAGAUCAGAGAAAAUUAAUUGAUGAGUUAACUCAUAAUUUAAAAGAAAAUGAGUUAACUCAAUCUGUUUAUUUUUUUAUUUGAUUAUUAUCGGAUGAUAGUUGUCUAGGUCAAUAUUAGUCUUACAAAUGCUAUGAGUAAACACUUACAACCUUGUCUUUCUAAUGAAAUUUCUCUACACAAGGCAUCAAGCCUUGGACACUUAACUUUGGUGUUGUCAUAGUAAGUAUGCCAAGUAAAACUCGUUCUUUAAAUAAGUAUUCCAUAGGCAUUAUAAUUAGCAAUGAAUUGUAUUAUAUAUUCCUAUUGUACAUAACCUAUAGCUUUAACCUUUAAACUUAUUAACUAUCUACACAAAACAUCGACCUUUUGCUCUCCUCCUCCUCCCAUUUUUUUUUUAUACUAUAAGUGAACAUAGUUUUCAAUGAGUUUUCAUGUUUUGUGAAAUUUCCCUGUGUAUUUAAUUUUGCACUAUCAUAUUAACUAUUUGGCUCAAGUUAUUCCUUUGGCCUUAAGUGACAUUAACUAUCUUAGGCCUUUUGGUCUUUCUCCUGUGGGAGCUUUAAGGCUAAUGCCGCUUAGGCUAUGCCUUGAUGUUCUUUAGAUUUAUGGUUUGGGCCAUAUUGGCCAUGCCAUUUACAAUUCGACUUAUUAGCCGUUUACAAUCUGACUUGUUUAGCUAUUAAAAAAUGAAGUAGAAACAUGGUUUAUGCACAACUUGUUUAUUGAUAGUAUUUCCAAGGACGGAGCAAUGGCGUUCUGUCUAGUGUCUGCAAAUGGUACGACCCUAUUCCUCCCGUUUUGUGUACAAUAUAAGGCAUUUCCCAAUUAGGUUGGAGCUUGUCAGCUCCUAUUUCGGCUGUGUUUUCAAAAGCUUUUUUCAGGACCAUGUCACCUGGAUGGAACAAUCGUGGGUGCGCUAUCUUGUUGUAAUGAACCAUUGUUUUUUUUUUUUUUUUUUGCUGAUAAGAGGCUAAUCGAAUAGUUAUGACCUCACAUUCCUCAUCCGUCUAAUCUAAGUGCAUUUCAAGAUUUCCUUCAUUGGCCUAUAAUUCUUGCACCAUUGUCCUAAUCGUGGGUAGCCCUAUUUUGGUGGGAAUGACAACUUCCAUGUUGUAUGCAAGGGCAAAUGGGGUGACCCCAGUAGGGCUUCUACUGGUGGUUCUGUAAGCCCAUAGUAAGCCAGACAAUUCGUUUACUUAUUUACUUUUUUCCAUUUCCAAUCAUUUCUUCAAAAAAAUUUAACAACGUUUUAUUCGUCAUUUUUGUCUGCCCGUUGCUUUGUGGAUACUGAGACGUCAAAUAAACAUUUUUUAUCUUCAAUUCCGAACAAAACUCGUGAAAUGUACUACUAUCAAACUACGGUCCGUUGUUUAUGACAAUUGCAUGACGAAUUUUGAAUCAACAUAUAAUGUUUUUCUAGAUGAACUUUGUUAUGUCUUUGUCUUUGAUGUUAGCAUAGGCUUCAGCUUCUACCCACUUGCUCAAGUAGUUUGUGGCUACAAGCAAGAGUUUUUUUUUAGCUGUGUCGAUUGGUAAUGGGUCGACUAUAACCAUCCCCCAUUGAGCAAACGACCAAGGAUUGACUUCUGGGUUAAGGUAGUCGGAUGGCAAUCGGGGGAUAGUUGCAUUCUUUUGACAUUGAUCAAAUCUGCGGACAUAAUUCUAAGCAUCCCAUUUCAUUGUAGGCCAAUAUUAGCCUUGUGAAUAGGCUCGAUGAGCUAAGGUUCAUCCUCUUGGGUGGUUGUCGCAUACAUUUUCAUGUAAUUCAGCCAAAAAAUAUUGAGUUUCCGAAUCGGUUAGGCAUUUCAAAUAAGGCCCCCCAAAUGACCGUUUGUACAAUUGAUUGUUAAUCAAAGUAAAUCGGAUAGCCUUAAUACGGAGCUUAUAUGCUUGUUUCCCGUCCUCUAGAACUUCACCUGUGCGAAGAUAAUUGGCAAUGGGAUGCAUCCAUCCUACACUUGCAUGGGCCACAUCAUGAACUCAUUCUGAAGCAAUAAAAGGCAUGAGUUGGAUGUAAACUGACAACAUGAUAGAUGCAUUAAUGGGUAGGGCAGCAACAACUCUGACUAAUGCAUCUACUUUUCUGUUCUUUUCAUAGGGUAUACGUUUGACUCGCCAAUUAGACAGGUUAUAAAUGGGAUUCCACACUACUGAGGUAGUGCGCCAUAUGUUCGCCUUGGCCUUGUACUCUCCUUGGAUUUGCCUGACCACUAAUUGGAAGUCACUUCAUAUUUCUACCUUCGAUGUUGCAAGUGCUUAGGCGAGUUCAAGGCCAACUAUAAUUUCCUUGUAUUCAACCUCAUUAUUAGAUACGAGAAAAUCGAAAUGGACGAAUUUCUCAAUCUACUCCCUAGUAGGAGAGAGUAGUACAAGCCCUAUUCCAGCCCCUGGUAUUUAUGAUGCUCCGUUUACAUGCAAAAUCAGUUGAUGGUGUCAGUCUGCACUCUUUUUUGGGGUAGCUUGGCUAUAAAGUCUACAAUGACCUGACCUUUUAGUGACAAGCAAGGCUUGUAUUAUGUGCCAUACUUGCUCAACUCAAUAGCCCAUUUCAUCAUUCGUCCAAAUAGAUCUAACUUGUGCAAGGUGACCCUCAAUAGUUGAUUUGUCAAGAUUGUCACUUGAUGUGCCUGGAAGUAUGGACGGAGCUUUUUAGUGGCACCACACAAUGCUAGAGUUGUCUACUCUACUUGAGAGUAAUGAGUCUCAACAUCCACCAAUGCCUUACUCAUGUAGUAGAUGGGUUUUUUCCCGUCUUAUUAGGCUUUUUGGAAUAAGACAUUAUUGACUGCAUAGUCUGAGACAACAAAAUACAUGUAUAGUUCAUCUCCCUUAUUUGGACUACUUAAGAUGGGAGGUUCUAUGAGGCAAUGCUUAAUAGCAUCAAAGACACUUUUGCAAUCCUUUGUCCAACCAAACUUUUGGGCUCCGCGUAGAGUAGUGAAAAACAGGCGAAGCUUAUUAGUGAAUUGGGUUAUAAAUCAGCCCAAGGCUGCAAAAUGGCCCAUUAGUCGUUGCAUUUAUUUCUUAGUGGAUGAAACAGGUGUCUCAAGCACGACCUUCACUUGGUCUGGGUUUAUUUCGAUUCCUCAUUCAGUCACAAAAAAACCAAGAAACUUGUCUACAUUGAUGCCAAACAGGCACUUAAGAGGGUUAAGUUUCAUAUUAUACUUUCGCAUUAGGGCGAAUGCUUCUUUCAAGUGAUGUAUGUGUUCUCUUCGGGUUUUGCUUAUGACAACUAUGUCAUCAAUGGCCACUAUUCGUCCCAUCAAAGGUUUGAAUAUUUUUGCCAUCAACCUCUGAUACAUUGCACCUACAUUUUUUAGCCUAAAAGGCAUGACGUUAUAGUAGUACAGUCCAUGAGGUGUGAUAAAGGCCGUUUUUUUUUAAUUAGAACGGAACAUGGAGAUUUGGUGGUAACCGGAGAAAACGUCUAAGAAUGAGAGGAUUCUGUUUCCAAACGUAGAAUCAACAAUUUGAUCAAUUUUGGGCAAAAGAAAGCUAUCAUUCGGCAAACAUCAUUUAAGUUUGUAUAAUCCAUGCACACUCGCCAGGUUCCUCUCUUAUUUGUUACCACCACGACAUUAGCCAACCAAUCUGGAUAAGCAACCUCUCAAAUAAAGUCAAUGACUAGUAACUUAUUGAUUUCCAUCUGUAUUACUUUCUGGUGCUUCCGGUGAAAGCUUCAGACUUUCUGUCUCAUUGGAUGCAUGUUGGGGGAGAAUAUUCAAUUUAUGAGUAACCACAAACGGGUCGAUUUCCUAGCAUAUCAAAAUGGCUCUAGGCAAAUAUAUCCACAUUUCGAUGGAGUAAGGCUUCUAUGUUACUAUGUUCCUCCGUCAUUAACAAAGAGCUAACAUUGGUCGUAUGACCUUCCUCGUCUGAUAAGGUUAGGAGUAGUAGAGGAUCAGUAGUCGUGGAUCUUUCUUUGCAUGUUGUUGUAAUUGUUAUUGACUUUUUGAACUUAAUGGUUUAGGUUCAUCUGCAGCUGGGUCUAUUUGCUUUGUUUCUACAGUCACCUUAUAGCAUUGCCAAGCAGCCAGUUGGUUCCUAAUCAAGUCCACUUACCUAGCUUCAGUGAGGUAACUUACCAUUUGAUGGUAUGUGGAUGGGAUGAAUUUCAUUUUGUGCAGUCAUACUCAUCCCAUAAUAACAUUGUAUGGUGAUAAGUCCUCCACUGUUGAGAAUAGGACAUUUAAGGUGAUCGGGUCGACUUGGACAGUAAGGAUGUCAUCGCCUAGGGAGACUGUUGAUGCUCCAUUGAAACUGGUCAAAAUGCGACCAGGAUUUUCCAAAGCAGACAAGGAGUACCCCAUUUGCCUAUAAGCUGACAUUUGCAGGAGGUUGACGAAGCUUCCUAGAUCAAUUAGAAUUAUGUGCACAUCAAAGCCACCAACUCCAAGUGUUAAGACUAAGACAUCCUCGUGCGGAAGGAUUACCCGAUUAGAGUCAAUGGGAGAAAAGGCAAUGGGCUCAUCUAUCGGCCAAACAUUGUCAUCAGUGAACGUGCCCUGAACGGUAUGUACUCUUUCUCUGAAAAAAAAAAACUACAUGAACUAGCCUUCACCUCUAUAUUUGGGAGUGGUACUUGUCAUCUAUAAGCCCUCUAUGUAUAUAGUUGGUGACUACUCUAGGUGUUGUAGGAGACGGAGAGGCAUGUUCGAUUGUUCUUUCUUCAUCUCGUCCGUCGGGGGCAAAGACAUAUUGCUUUAGGUGUUCGACUUUAGUGAGCUCUUCUACUAGGUAGUGUAGGUUCUUGCGCUGCUUCGUGGUAUGUCUAUGCUCUUUAUGGUAAAAGCAUCAUCGUUUCGAUCUCGCCUGGCCGGAUUAGUCUUAAUUGGUUUUGGCCAUCUGAACUUGGGCAACUCUUGAAUCAAUGGAAGAAGCUGCUCAUAAGAGACGGUCAGUAGAGUGAGCCUUAGGGGCUGCUACUAUCAUCCAUCCUACUUUUGUUUCCUUUGUUUGGACUGGUUGUUUGGAGACUUUGAUAUUCCAACUUUGUUUUUUUUUUUUGUUGGCCGGUUCGUGACCAAAACUUGCUGAGAAGCAGCUCAAACAUCAUCCUCGAGCAUAACAUACUUAUCCGCCCAUCUAAACAAAUCGUCUAUCGAGGCGGAUGACUUUUUGGUGAGGGACUCAAAGAAUGAAGUGUUAGGGCUUACACUCUGCUUGAAGAUCUAAAGGAUGACGUCCAUGUUGUAGGACUCCACUUAAAGUACCAUCUAUCUGAAUUGCUUCAUGAAGUCCUUCGGUGCUUCGUUCUCUUACAUCUUAAUGUUCUACAAGGUGCUUAUAUUCUACUUUUGAUGCGCAGAACAUAAGUAGCGACCGAAAAAUGCCUUAGAAACAUCAUGAAACGAAUUGAUAGAGUUUUGAGAUAGGCGAUGAAACCACGACAAGGUCGAAUUGUGGAAGUUGGCAGGAAAGACUUUGCAGAACAGCACAUCAUUCCCAAUGUUCAAUGUCAUCAACUGGCAAUAGUGCAGCAAAUGAUCAAAAGGGUCACUUGUACCAUCAUACAUAGUGAACUUGGACUCCAAGAACCUUCUAGGAGGUUCGUAGCUAAUGAUAUGAGGGUCGAAUGGCGUGGAGAGUAUAUCAUCCAACCAUCAGCUGAUAGAGCCCAAAGGUGCCUUUUCUGUGGGCUUGGGAACAACUGGCAGCUUCGGUUGCGGAGGCUGGAAGCUUGGUGAUGCCACCUAUUUUGGUUGGCCCAACCAGGCCUUCAAGGUGUUAGAUAUGCGUGAGAAUGUUUGAGUCCAUUGGUCUUGGGACCCUAGGUGGGCCCUUAUGGCAUUUGACAGGCAAAAGCCUCAUCGCUAUCCCCUUUUCUGCUUUCCUUUAUUGGAGCUAAUAGCCUCGUUGGGGUGGGACUGGUCAGUUGAGGCAUAAGCCUAUUCGAGCCAAGUAGAAGAGCAACUAAAGAAAAAGUCUUCCUCAUGCAUUUGGUGAGACGACUCUAUGUGCUGUCGGGAUGAGCGUGUCAUUUGGUUGUGACUCCGAUCAGGGUUGGUCGGCUGAGAAAGGGUGAGAUGGCUCUACAAGUGACGCCCAUCAGACAUUUGGUGUCAUUUUCUAUUUUUAGUUAUUCGGCUUGCUAAAGCAGUGACUGCAUUUGACACUCAUUUUUUUCUUACUUUCUUUCCAUUCGGCUUGCCAAGCUUGGAAUUGGUCGGCCACAGUGGUUGAUUGGAAUGUAUUAAAUGUAUUGACCAUCGUGCUAAUAUUCCUUUGAUUCGAUGUUCUCACAGAUGACGCCAAAUGUUGUUGCACAAUCUGAGCAGGUAGUCUCGUUUAGCUGCCACGAGCUGGAUGAAACAGUUGACCAACAGUUCCAUCUAAGUUCCUUAAGAUGCAAACAACUAUAAUCCUUGCACAAAGGUUGUUCGAAUGAUUUGUCCGAGCACGCCCUUUGAUGCUAAAGUCAAUAAGUGGCUUAAACAAGUCAAAGUCUUUUAUAGAAAGGAAGCUCUCUUACCAUUUGUAGAGUUUGCGUGGUUAUUUAUACCUUUUACAAUGUAACAUCUUUCUAGGUGUCUUAAUAGCACCUUAACUGCGCUUGAUUGUGCGAUCCAAUGACAUUGAUUAUCGAUGCAUAGUGAUUGUCUUGUCAUGAUGAACCACUGAGAAUGGAAUGUUUCCCAUAACAAUCGUAGUUAAUAUGGAGCAUGUCAGGCGUACAAUCUGCGCAUUAAUGGGUGUGUAAAUGCAUAAUAGACAGUCAAGCCUUAGCCAUGCUAUAUCCAUAUAGGAUUUAUCCAUCUGACAUACUUUGAGAUGGAUCAAUUACUCAACCUAAAGGCCGUAAGGCCAUCCGGAUGAGGGCGGUUUCCCAGACGACUUCUCUAGCCAAAUAGUUGUGAGAAAGUGGUGGAUUUCAAGACAACUUUGCAUAAAGGGUUCCACUCUUGUCUUUCUUUUUUCAUUCAACUCUUAAGUUUGAGAUCUUUAUGGAGAACAAAUCCUUCAUGAUUGAUAAAUAUAAUUAAUUCUCCAUAAAUUAAUGUCUCAUAAAGAAUUCUUCCACCUUUUUGCUUCCGAGGGGAUUUGAACCCCAAACCAAAAGGUUUAGGGUUCACUCCACUUGCCAUCAGGGCUAACUUGCCCUUGUUAUAUAACGUGCACUAAACUUAUAUAUACUUAAACUCAUUAUAUAAAGAAAAUAUUAAAAGAAUAUUUUAAAGAGCAAAUUAAUUAUAAUUAUUUAUAAUUAAAUGCAAAAUUUUCUUUUAAUUAAUUACCAAAAAUAUAAAAAUUAUAUAAUUUUCUUCAUAAUGUUUUUAAUAUCAUUAAUAAUUAAUUAAAUAUUAAAAAAUUAUAUAUAUUUCAUAAUUUAUUUUAUAUUGUUUAAUACAAUUGAAAUGGAUCAUAUUUUAAUAUUAAUAUAUAUUUUAAAAUUAGACAUAUUAUAAUAAAAUAUCAUAAUAUUAUAUGUAAUUUAAUAAUAAAUGUACACUUAUAAAAUUCAUAUUUUUAUCGAUGCAUACAAUAUUAUUAUCAAAUAUGAUAAAUCAUGUUAUACAUAUAUCAAAAUUUUCAAUAAAAUAACUUUAAAAUGUCUAUUAUACUUCUAAUUAUAUUAUUAUGAGGUUUUCCUUACAUUUUUAUGAGUUUUUAACAAUUUUAAGCUAACCGAUAUUUUUUUUCAAAAUAUCCACCGAUAUAUCUUCGAUAUAUCCGUAAAAUCGAAGUACCAAUAUAAUCCGUGAUUACCGAUAUUUUCAACCUUGUGGCUAAGGAUAUUUGGGACGCAAUCCAAUAGACGUAUUCAAAAGCUAGAGAUGCAGCUCAAGUAUAUGAGGUUAAGGUGAAGACGAUUGCUGCAAAACAGGGAAGUAAAACAGUUAUUGAAUAUGCCAAUCAAUUGAAAGCUUUGUGGCAAGAACUUGAUCAUUAUAGGGUGAUAAAAACCAAAUGUCCUGAGGAUGCCGCUGUUUUAAAGGAUUUCAUUGAACAAGAUAGAGUCUAUGAUUUUCUUGUUGGGCUUAACCCAGAAUUUGAUCAAGUGAGAAUCCAGAUUCUUGGCAAGUAAGAGGUUCCAUGCUUUAAUGAGGUGCUGGCACUGAUUUGAAGUGAGGAAAGCCAAAGGAGUGUUACGCUUGAACCACAAACCUUGGAUGGAUCAACCCUAGUUGCAAAAACAGAAUAUUCAGAGCAAGGAAAGAAUGAUCUGCCUAAACACUUAGGUAGAGACAAUCAGUGGAAAGAGAACAAGGACAAUCUUUGGUGCACCUUUUGUAAGAAACCAAAGCACACAAAAGAGAAGUGUUGAAAGCUGAAUGGUAAACCACUAAGUCGUGAAUGGGGAAACCGUGGAGGGCAGCAAAGGCCUCAAGCACACAUGACAGAGCAACCCAAAACUGAGGAAAAUUCAACAAUUGACGGGUUCAAUAGUGAAGAAAAUGAGAAGUUAAGAAGCUUGUUGGGAUCCCUUGACAUAACUACUUGAACUUGUUCUUUGGCUCUUUCAGGUACACCUUCACUCUCUUUUUGCAUAAACGCCUCACAUAGGGUUUAUGAUGACUCUUGGAUAAUAGACUCCGGUGCCAUAGACCAUACGACCUCCAAAUCUCAACUUUUCCAUACCUAUACCCCAAACCUAAGUAACAAGAAAAUUGCGAGUGACACUGGCUGGUUCUAUAUCACCAUGGGUUGACACAUGAGGAAGGUCAAGAGGUUCAAAGGACUUACAAUGACUAUCUUCCAUCAUUGAAAUCUCUCCCUGAAGAGAGAACUUGGGGAAAAAAGGUUUAUUUUCUGUGAAGGUGACAUCUAUAGAGAUGUAAAAAUUUUUGGCCCAACACUUGUAUCAUUUUUGAGUGGAUGAGUAACCAAGGAAGACACAUUUUAUGGCUCGGGGGUCUAGCUUGUCUCUAUGUUGGAUGUGGACAUGAACAAAUGCAGUACACCCAAAUACCCUAGGAGUGAGCCCAUUUGAGGUUCUAAAGUGUGGAUAGAAACUCUUAAGUAUCUCUACGAGGCAUUUGUUGUCUAAUACUCGUGAGAGAAUUCUAUUUAUCAUGUAUGUGGCAGUAAGAACAGCUUCCCCCCAAUAGGACUUAGGAACAUUCCCUUGAAAGAGUAAGGCUCGGGUUGUGUUGAGUAAAUGCCCAUUUUUCCUCUCGCUACCCCAUAUUGUUGGGAUGUGUUAACACAUGAUGAGUCAUGGAGAAUGCCCUGUGAUUGAAAAUAGGGUGACGAAAUUUGGUUGAAGUAAUCUCUAGCAUUGUCAGUCCUAAAGUUUUUUAUUUUAACCUCAAAUUGGUUUUGAACCAUUGAGUGGAAAUUUUGUUACCCAAUCUAAAAGUAAAAAACACAACAGGUUACUAGAAAUUUUGUUACCCAACACACAGUCUAUAUAUAUAUUUUUUAAUAUUUAAUAGAAAUAAAAUAUUUUUUAAAAAUAACUUAAUACUUCAUUUAAACAUUAUUUAGUUUUAAGUUGUAUCCUGAAUUAAGUAAAAAAAACAAACAUUACUUUGUCACUUGCUUUUCACUUUUAUUUAUUAAGAUUGUUUGGAAAUCAUGAAAUGGACAUAUUUGUCCUCAAUAAUUUUAACUAAUGCUAAUAUUUUUACUAAUCAUAAGUAAUAAAAUUAUUUGUUAAAUAUUUAUAUUGUCGUAAAAAUAUGAGAUGACUAAACAAAUAUUUAUUAUAAAAAAAUGAGUUGUGAAUAUAAAGUUAUAGUUAUAAAAUAUAUUUUCCUUAAAUAAGAACAAAUGAGUUUUGAGAUUAAGAAUAAGCUAACUAUUUAUAUUUAAUACUCAAAAUUAAUUUUUUAAGUUGUUUUAUUAAAUUAUUUUAUCAAAUAUAUUUAAUAUAUUUAAUGACUUAAAUUAAGUUAUUAAACUAUAUCAAAUUUUUAAGUGGAUUUACCAACUUGCAAUACAUCAUUCAAUUUACUUAAUAUUAUUUAAAUUAAAUUUAUAAUUUCUUACCAAAUUAAAAUAAAAUUUAUUUUUAAAAUAACUAAAAUUUAUUUAUUUAAACUAUUUUUUGUGGAGUUUAAAAAUUGUUUUUAAAAAUAUUUGCUUGAUAACGAGUAAGAAAUUAUUUUUGUGUUUUAAACUUAAAACAAUUUCUAAAAAUAAGUUUGAGGUAACGUGGCUUAGGCAGGAUUCCCAAGAAACCUCCACAAAAUCAACACAACAAAUUUUCCCAUAAAUCAACGGUGUUGAUUAACUGACUCCGCCUCUAUAAAGGACUCUUCUGCCUAAUCAUUGACCUUCUGCUUUUGUAACACCAUCCACAAAUCUCUCUCUUUCUUUCUCGAGGAUCGCAGCGAUGACUCAUAUCCUUGGAAUUUCUUUGAUUUUAUUGUUUUUCGAAUCCGUUUUUUGUGUUUCCAAUUCGCAAUAUCUUUUUUUAAUUUUUUCAGUUCUAAUUUUUUUUUGGAAUUAGAUCACUCUGUUUGUGUGUUAUUCCCUAAUUGGAUAUCACGCGGUAACCAGAGAGAUCGGGAUCGGGAAAGGGCAGCGUCACGGAACCCCUCCAAGGGCAGCAAGGGCAAAGACGAUGGUUUGACUCCCGAGCAACGCCGAGAAAGGUCAUUUUCCUAUGAAACUUCUACUUUUAUUUUUUCUUUUUUUUAGUGCAUUCUUGUGUGUUGAGCUUGAUUGUUUGGAUAGGGAUGCUAAGGCGCUUCAAGAGAAGGCAGCCAAGAAGGCGGGACAGGCGGCCUCGGGAGGAAGUGGCGACGCCGGAGGUAAAAGCACGAAGAAGUAGUAUAAGCUUGUUAAAUCGAGAUUUUAGGUGCUUUAUUGUCAAUGGUUGAAUUUCAGAAAGGGUUGGAUUUGAUGCCGUAGUCUGAUCUUGAACAAAUAUGUGUUCUCUUUGAGAUCUGCUUGUUAAUUGACUUUUUGAUCUUGAAAUAUUGGCUAAUGGCGUGUCAUUACUUGUACUAUUUGUUAUAUUAGUAUUUCGAUCGGUGUGAUUUCAGAAGAUUAUAAUUCUCUGGUGUUUCUUUUGUUAUGAUUGGGAUAUUGCCAUUUUAUUUUGGGAAAAAGAACAUGAUGGAGUUUAUUAGGCUGAUCUUUCAUUUUAGGUAUAUAUCUUUCUUUACAUAUUUGAUAAGCAUGGAG